rnacentral:lncRNA from 1 species
AGACGGCGCGGGCGGCCCGGCGUCUCCUGUCUCUGGCAGGACUGUGAGGCGGCACUUAGCGCCCUGGUCGCUCGCGCCCCGCCGACGCCUCCUUUUUCUCUCCCUACCUCUGCGCUCUGCGGCCGCCGCUGAGAUCUGGGACGGCGGCACAUCCAGCCCGGGAGACGACUGGCUAGGAAAUAGAACUGUUAGUAUUUUGAAGCCCAGAUCCCCUUUCGUUUUGGUGUUCACUACUAUUAUUGCCCUCCUCAAAAACUAAAAGGUUCAUUUGAGCUAGAUUUAACUUGGUUAUCUGAGAAGAAAAUUUUUUUAAAAGAGGGGGGAUGGUGUGAUUAGAGGGGACCGGUAAGACGCCCUUUUCUGUAAGUCCGCUUUAUCCACCUCUUGUCAUUAUUGCUUUGCAAGGAUUGGAUUUCAGGGAAAACUAAGGUUUCCCAAAUGUUCAAACCACCUAUUUUAAGCCGAGUUUAGUUUACAGGGUUUAAAGAGUCAUUUAUUCACAUUUCUCCAUGUAAUUAUCGGCAAUCACAUUUUACUCAUGAUCUACUUUGUGCUAGGCUUUCAAAAAGCAAAGUUGCAGAAGAUAUACUUGACAAGUUGAUAUUACACUCUAGGUCUAGGUACAGUCUCUGUUUAAGGCAGCUUGUUUGCCACGUUCCUGUCACUUUCUCAAAUAUGUUCCAAAUAACAAGCAUCUUUAAAGCAUUCCUAAAUCGAGAAUGGUGAUGAAUCUACUGGACAGAGGGUGAGGAAAGAUUACAGCGCCUGGAUCCAAACUGUGAUUUGAGUAGCACAAUUGCUUUAAGAUAUUAAUACCUUUAAAAACACAAAGAUUAUUUUACUCAUAGGUAAUAUUUGGAUCCACAUCUUUAUGCUUCCCCCCCAAACCUAUGCCUCUCUAUUCAUUUUUUAUGGGAGGAGGGGGUGAGUAGCCCCGUCCUCCAAAUAAUUUUCCUAAUCAGAAACUUAAGAGUAUGAACACUUGCCUCUUUUUCAUCUCUCCCCACUGUAGAAACCAUGAAAUGUGUAAUCUCCAUAACAGCUUUUCCAAUCCACCACUUCCCCUUCUAAAUACUCCCCACUUUGGCCUUAACUCAGACCUUCCUCACUUCUUUUUUAUUUUAUUUUAUUUUAUAUGUAUUUAUUUAUUAAUGCAUUUUUGAGUUAGGGUCUUGCUUUGUCACGCAGGCUGGAGUGCAGUGGCGCCAUCUGGGCUCACUGCAACAUCCCGUCCCCGGGCUCAGGCAACCCUCCCACUUCAGCCUCCUAGGUAGCUAGGGCUACAGGCGCUUGCCACCAUGCCCAGUUAAUUUUUAUUUAUGUUUUUAUUUAUUUUAUUUUUUUAGUAGAGACAGGAUUUCACCAUGUUCCCCAGGCUACUUUUUUAGAAUGCUCUUUGAUCUUUCCGCCUUCGGUCUGAUUCCUUUUAAUCCAUUCUCCACCUCACUGGUAAAAAUUUUUGUGCUAUAUGUAGUCAUGCUCCUUCUUUAUUUAAAAUUCCACUAGUGGCUCCCCAUAACAUUCAUUAUAAAGGUCAAAAAAAAAAAAAACCCUUAAACUUUGUUUGGAGCACCUUUUGCUCCAGCCAUACUAAAGUAUUUAGCUGGGGAAUAAGAUGUCCAUAGGGCUUUGAAAAACGCUAACAUAUUCCUGAGACUGUAGAAGGUGCUUAGGGUGUGCAUAUGUCUAGGGUUAUGUGAACACUCAAGAUAGGCCUGAGAAGGCCCUGAGCUCUAACCUCUGGGUGACCUUGAGGCACUACAGAAGCAAGAAGUGAAGGCUAAGGCAGAAUUAUUUGGUUGGUUGGUGCAAAAAAUUGCGGUUUUGUCAUUUCAACGAAAUUACUUUGGUACCAACCUAAUGUAAAGUGCUUGGCUGAUUGUUGAAGGCUUGUCCCAACGUAAGUACUAAACCCCUCAGGAAAGACUGGGAGAUUUUUUGGUUGAAGGUGUUUAAGAAAACCUGUCUCUCUAAUCAUUAGUUGACCACUAAGCUAACUGAGCAGAAACCUGAGUGGUCACACACAAUAAACAAUGCAGACUUUAAAGAAUUCAUUCAUAAGCUAGGUGCGGUGGCACACGUGUAGUCCCAGCUACUCGGUAAACUAAGGCCAGAGGAUCCCUUGAGUCACCAACUCAGACCCUAUCUCUAAAAAAAAAAAAAAAGAAUGAGUUCAGAAAAGUCACUAAAUCAACAACUGCUACAACAAACAGAAAUAACAGUGAAGCUUGGGGAGCGGGUAGAAUCUGAUUUCCAGUGUUGCACAUUAUAUUAUUUAAAAUGUUCAGUUUUCAAAAUAGUUAAGAUACAUGCAAAGAAACAAGAAUGUAUGGCUCAUACACAGGAUAAAAAUUAAUCAAUAGAAACUCACCCGAGGAAGCCUACAUGCUGGACUUACUAGAUAAAAAGGCUUUAAAUCAGAUAUUUUCAAUAUGUUACAAAGCUAAAGGAAACCAUGUCUAAAGAACUAGAGGAAAGUAUGAGAUGUUUCAUCAAAUAGAUGAUAAAGACAAAUCAUUUUUUAAAACCCAAAUAAUUCUGGAGUUAAAAAGUAUAAUAUGCCAUGACGGAGACAAAUUUUAAAUUUUUAAAAAAAAAUAAAAUAACAAAAAGGUAUAAUAAAGUGAAAAGUUUACUAGAGGGGCUCAACCCCAGAUUUGAGCAGGGAGAAAAAAAAAAUCAGCAAACUUCAAUAUAGGUCAGUUGAGAUGAUCUAGUCUGGGCAACAGAUUGAAAAGAGAAAGAAGAAACAUCAACAGGCCUCAAAGUCCUGUGGGACACAAUCAAGCACACCAACGUGCGCGUAAUGGGAGUUUCAGAAGGAGAGGAGAAAAAGAAAAGGGCAGGCAUAAUACUUGAAUAAAAGAAUGGCCAAAAACUUCCUAAAUUUAAUGAGAAAUAUUUAUCGACACAUCCAAGAAGCUUAACAAAUGCCAAGUGACAUAAACAAAUCCACACCUCAACACAUUGUAAUUAACCGAUUAAAAGUCAAGGGCAAAGAGAGACUCUUGAAAGUGGCCACUUUCAAGAAGAAAAGCCACAAAGAGAGAAGCCACUCAUCACAUAAUCCUCCAUAAGAUUUACAGUUGAUGCCAUGAAAGCCAAAAGGCAGGGGAUGACAUACUCAACAUGCUGAAAGAAAAAGAUCAUCAAGUAAGAAUUUUACCUCCAGCAAAACUAUCCUUCAAAAAUGAAGGCGGUAUUAAUACUUUCCCAAAAUGUAUGUAUAUACAAAGAUAGAAUUUGUCACUAGGACAUUUUCCUUGCAAGAAAUACUAAAGGGAGUCCUUCAGAAUUAAAUUGACACUAGACAGUAAUUCAAAUCCACAUGAAGGAAUAAAGAACACUUGUAAAACUAACUACAUAAGUAAAUAUAAAAGUAUAAUUUUUUAUUUGUGACUCAUUUUUCUAUUUUAUUUAAAAGACAAUUGCGUGAAGCAAUAAUUAUAAGUCUGUAUGGGCUUAUUGUAAGAUAUUAAUAUGACAGUAACAGAAGGGAGAGGAAGGAGGGAAAGAAUAAUGGAGGAACGAAGCCAUAUAGUAGCAAGUCUUUGUGUACUAUUGAAAUAAAGUUGUUAUUAAUCCAAACUAGAUUGUUAUAACUUGUUAAUUAUAAUCCCCAGAGCAACUGCUAAGAAAAUACUUUUAAAAUAUAUGAAUAAAGGACAAGGAAAUUAAAAUGGCAUACUUGAAAAUAUAUAUUUAACACAACAAAAGGCAGCAGGAAUUAAGAAAUAGAGGAAUAAAAAAGACACAGGACAUAAAGAAAACAUCGCAAAAUGACAAAUGUAAAUUCUACCUUGUCGAUGUCAACAAUCCAAAGGAUUUUCCUUAAAAAGGAAAGAGGCUGGGCGCAGUGGCUCACACCUGUAAUCACAGCACUUUGAGAGGCCAAGGCUGGAAGAUUGCUUGAGUACAGGAGUUUGAGACGAGCCUGGGCAACAUUCUAAAACCCCAUCUCCACUAAAAAAUACAAAAAAUUAGCCAGGUGUGGUGGCACAUGCCUGUAGUCCCAACUGCUUAGGCAGCUGAGGUAGGAGGAUCGCUUGAGUCCAGGAAAUCAAGUCCGAAGUGAGCCCCGAUCAUGCCACUACACUCCAGCCUUGGUGACACAGUGAGACCCUGUCACAAAAAAAAAAAAAAAAGAGAGACUUUAUUCCAGUGAAUAGUUUGUAGUCUUUUGUACCAAACAAAGGUGUUAUUCAAGAAAACAAAAAGGAUUGUCUUCUUUAGAGAAAGUUCGCACCCAGGUUCCCCCUCUGCUUUGCUAUGCAAAUGAGGAAUAAAAGCUUGUUUAGUUUUGAUUGGUUGAUGCAGGUCACAGUGUAUCAGUUAGGUCCAGGUGGUGAAAAGAGACUUUCUAGCAGUUGUUGAUUGAGGCAGUGUAAACAGGAACAGACAGCCAUGAAUGACCCAAAGUCUCAUAAGCUUGUUGGUUCUCUUCAGAAUACAGAGUACAUGUGUGACCUCCAGUCAGCAAAUGGCUGCUUGGCUCCAUUUUGAAUUUAGGACCAGUUAGCCACUCAGGAUCCAUCUUGAAAGAUUAGCUCUUUCAGGAUUCACAUCAGUCAGUAUAUUAAAUAUAAAUGGAAUAAAAACUCCAAUUAAAAGGUAGAGAUUGACAGAAUACACUUAAAAAAAAAUAUCUAGCUAUAUCUAUCCACAGAGUUACACUUUAGAUUCAGUGACACAGGUUGAAAGUAAAAGGAUGAAAAAAAGUACGAUCUAAAUAGUCACUAAAAUAGCACAACCACUUUAGAAAUUGUCCUGAUAUUUAAAAAAUAAAAAUGCAAUUAUCAUUUGACCUAGCAGUCCCACUUUAUAUUUACCAAAAAUAAAUACAAACAUGUGCCCACACCAAGACUCUUGACCGCAACAGUUCAUAGCAACUUUACUAAUAAAAGCCCUAAACUGGACACAAUCUAAAUGUUUGCCAGCUGGUGAAUAAAUAACGUCUGGUAUGUCUUUACAAUGCAAUAUUAACAAUAAAAAGGAAACUACUAAUAUAUGCAAGAACAAGGAUGAAUUUCAAAAACAUCACGCUGCGGAAAAGUAAGAUGUGAAAGUGCAUACUGUACAAUACCCCUUAAAAGGACUGUAAACAAAUCAAGUCAAAUAGGCAGUGACAGAAAGCAAAUCAGUUGUUGUCUUUGUGGUUCAUAGUAGAGUUAGGUGGGAGGAUUAACUGCACAGGGGCAUGAGGGAACUUUUUGGUUUGUUAAAAAUGUUCUAUAUUUUUAUCGUGGUGAUAGUUUGUCAAAACUCACCAAAUUGUACACUAAAAAUGGGUGCAUUUAUGGUUGAUUAUUUAUGCCUCCAUAAAGUUGAUUUAAAAGAAAAAACCUCAAAGUUGUUAUUUUCCCCCAUUCUUUUAGCCAUACCAAAGUAUUUGCUAUUAAAUCAUGCUGUCAUAUGCCUUAGAAUCUUCAGACCUACUGUUUCUCCACUCUGAAUGUCUUUUCUCCCAUCUGCUAUCACCACACUCUUUCCCACAUUUUGCUGGAGGGUGUUGAUCAGUCAAUACCCUCUCAUAUAAUCCUGCCCUAUAGCCCUACUCUGUAAUCCUUGAUUUACUUGUCUGCCUUACCAUCUAAACUUUAAAAUUCUUAACAGCGGGGAGCAUGGCCUGGUCAUAGUAGAUAUUUACAAUUAAUGUUGGAUAUUGAAGGUACUUGUCCAGAUACUUUGCUUGCUAAGAAUACUUUAAAAGAUCAGGAACAUUUUAAAUCCAGAUAUAACUCCUCUUGAAAUAAUCAAUUCCUUAAAAACAAAAAAACAAGCAAAUUUAUGCAAUUCAUAUAGCUACAUAACUGAUACGAAUAUUACAUGCCAAUGCUUUUUUUUUUCUUGAGACAGUCUCACACCGUCACCCAGGCUAGGGUGCAGUAGCACGAUCUUGACUCACUGCAACCUCUGUCUCCCCAGUUCAAGCGAUUCUCGUGCCUCAGCCUACCACGUAGCAGAAAUUAGAGGUGUGCACCACCAUGCCAGCUAAUUUUUUUAUAUUUCUAGUAGAGACAGGGUUUUGCCAUGUUGCCCAGGCUGGUUUCGAACUCUGGGCUCAAGUGACCCUCCCACUUCAGCCUCCCAAAGUGCUGGGAUUACAGGUGUGAGCCACAGCUCCCAGCCCACAUGCUAAUGCUUAAAGCAAUUAUUGUUUGGGUUAGACCCAAGAUAGCUUUGGAAACCACCUCAGUGCACAGAAUUGUGAAAUAUUUAAUUUUCUAAAAUAUUUAGUUUUCUAAAAUCAUAAAAUGACAAGAGUUCACAUUAUUAAAUAUGUAAUGUACGUUGUGUUGUGUCAAAGAGAAGCCUUCCUGCUCAUUUGGUAUCCACUGAAUCUGGCAAGUUUAUUAAAUGAAGGACUGACUAGUGGCGUUACUACAUACAUGUUACAAACCUUAAAAUCCAUCAACCUUACUGUAAAUAUUUCUUCCUAUUUAUAAAGAGCUCUAAGGACAGCUCCUUUCAUAUACAAAGUAUGACUAAAUGUCUAGUAAGAAAUUGUAAGAGUAAAUUUUCAGAUUACCCAGAUUUACAAUUAUGAAUAUCAAAAAGGGCUGUUGCCAUUUGAAUUUUUAAGAAAUGUUUAAGAAACUGAAUGUUUAAGAAAUGCAUUGUUUUCUGUUCAAAAAUUAAAAUCAGCUUUGUCAUAUUUAAUUAUGUUUUUUGAGUUACAUAGUUUUUGAGUAUUAUAAAUAAAUAUAGAUCCAGCAAAAGAAAAAGAAAAAAUAGGAAAAUAUUUACAUAUUAAAGUACAGUGAAUUAAGUUAAUGUAUAAGGCCAAUAGAAUAAUUGUUACUUCUGCCAGAUGGUAUUUUACAUUUUGAUAAAGAGAUAUAUUCUUAAUCAUAUAUGUCAAGGAAAAGCAACCAUAUGUUGUUAAACACUUCCAAUUUGUCAUUUAAUUUAAAAGGCACUACUGAUAUUG